ensembl:lncRNA
GUCAAGUGUACAGAAGGGUCUCUCCUGCGUGGGGAACACCAGGGGGCUGGUUUCUAGCCGCCAGAGAAGACAGGCCCUGAAGAAGUGGUACACUGCUCUUGGAAGAGGAGGCAUCCUUUCCCCAGACACGUCGGGGGCUAGAAAUCCCCCAGGCCCGACGCCCUCCGGAGACGCUGACGUCAGCCCGAGCGGCGGCCGCGGAGCGUUUCUGUGGCCCAGUUUGGAAGAUGGAUUAUAUAUAUUCACCCUCCUUAGAAGGCCAAGGAGGAGAAAACAUCAAGGAGAAGGAGACGUAGAUGUGAAAUACUGCCAAGAGGACGGAGAAGGUUAAGUUUGGAAAGUGGGUUCCGUUGGGAUUGGAUUUGGCAAACUGAUGACCUUGGUUGGAGAAAGGCUUCUGAGAAAAAAGAUGGGAAAUGGACUGGAUCACGCUGAAUCUAGAUAAGAAAUAAGUAAAGAUAACAAAUUGCACAAGUCUUUCCAGAAGCUUGGCUGGGAAGGAAAGAAAAAGAGGGGCAGCUACAUGGAACGGAAGAGGGCACACCCUCCCUGCCGUUCUCUGCAGGAGAGGGUGGGAGCAUGGCAGACCCAAUAGGGACGACGACUCCAGUAGAGAGAUUGCCAGGGAAUCAAGGGCCGAGGUUUCUGGGGAGCCAGAAAGUACGAGGGUCCAGAUAAAGGGGAAAAAGCCUUGAAGAAAUAAAGGAGGAGACUUAAGAAAUAGUGGGAAAAGUCCCAAGGAGGUGGGUUUCUGGGCACGGAACUGAUGAAGGGGCUGGCAUUACGUUACAGACUUGUCUGACCACAGCAGACCAUGGUCGGUGAUGCAUUGGUCUUCCCUUGGCCGAAGACUCUUUACCCACCCCACCCCCGAAUGCACAUACCUGCACACGCAUGAUUUCUUCACACAGGUCAGGAGGCUCACAGUAAGCUGCUACCCACAGAGGAGUCCAGACCACAUAGAGCAUUUCAGCAAGCAUGCCUUCUCAUUAGGGACUCACUGCCCUGACCCCUCUGCAACCUACAUCCCCAACCACCCACUGGACACCUCCCCUGGAGGUCCCACAGCCAUCUCGGGAACAGGGUUUCAUUCACUUAUUAAAUUCUGUC